UCAUGCACGAAAGCGUGGGGAGCAAGCAGGAUUAGAUACCUUGGUAGUCCACGCCCUAAACGAUGUCUACUAGUUGUCGGGUUUUAAUUCACUUGGUAACGCAGCUAACGCGUGAAGUAGCCCGCCUGGGGAGUACGGUCGCAAGAUUAAAACUCAAAGGAAUUGACGGGGACCCGCACAAGCGGUGGAUGAUGUGGAUUAAUUCGAUGCAACGCGAAAAACCUUACCUACCCUUGACAUGGAAGGAAUCCCGGAGAGAUUUGGGAGUGCCCGAAAGGGAGCCCUCACACAGGUGCUGCAUGGCUGUAGUCAGCUCGUGUCGUGAGAUGUUGGGUUAAGUCCCGCAACGAGCGCAACCCUUGUCAUUAGUUGCUACGCAAGAGCACUCUAAUGAGACUGCCGGUGACAAACCGGAGGAAGGUGGGGAUGACGUCAAGUCCUCAUGGCCCUUAUGGGUAGGGCUUCACACGUCAUACAAUGGUACAUACAGAGGGCCGCCAACCCGCGAGGGGGAGCUAAUCCCAGAAAGUGUAUCGUAGUCCGGAUUGUAGUCUGCAACUCGACUACAUGAAGUUGGAAUCGCUAGUAAUCGCGGAUCAGCAUGUCGCGGUGAAUACGUUCCCGGGUCUUGUACACACCGCCCGUCACACCAUGGGAGCGGGUUUUACCAGAAGUAGGUAGCUUAACCGCAAGGAGGGCGCUUACCACGGUAGGAUUCGUGACUGGGGUGAGUUGAGCGAAGUGAAUACGGUCGG
rnacentral:rRNA from 1 species